rnacentral:rRNA from 1 species
UCAGAGGGAGGUAGAAUUNCACGUGUAGCAGUGAAAUGCGUAGAGAUGUGGAGGAAUACCGAUGGCGAAGGCAGCCUCCAGGGAUAACACUGACGUUCAUGCCCGAAAGCGUGGGUAGCAAACAGGAUUAGAUACCCUGGUAGUCCACGCCCUAAACGAUGUCGAUUAGCUGUUGGGCAGCAUGACUGCUUAGUAGCGAAGCUAACGCGUGAAAUCGACCGCCUGGGGAGUACGGUCGCAAGAUUAAAACUCAAAGGAAUUGACGGGGACCCGCACAAGCGGUGGAUGAUGUGGAUUAAUUCGAUGCAACGCGAAGAACCUUACCUGGUCUUGACAUGUACGGAACCCUCCAGAGACGGAGGGGUGCCUUCGGGAGCCGUAACACAGGUGCUGCAUGGCUGUCGUCAGCUCGUGUCGUGAGAUGUUGGGUUAAGUCCCGCAACGAGCGCAACCCUUGUCAUUAGUUGCCAUCAUUAAGUUGGGCACUCUAAUGAGACUGCCGGUGACAAGCCGGAGGAAGGUGGGGAUGACGUCAAGUCCUCAUGGCCCUUAUGACCAGGGCUUCACACGUCAUACAAUGGUCGGUACAGAGGGUAGCCAAGCCGCGAGGUGGAGCCAAUCUCACAAAACCGAUCGUAGUCCGGAUUGCACUCUGCAACUCGAGUGCAUGAAGUCGGAAUCGCUAGUAAUCGCAGGUCAGCAUACUGCGGUGAAUACGUUCCCGGGUCUUGUACACACCGCCCGUCACACCAUGGGAGUGGGGGAUACCAGAAGUAGGU